rnacentral:rRNA from 1 species
AUACAUAGGCUCCAAGCGUUGUUCGGAAUUACUGGGCGUAAAGCGAGUGUAGGCGGCCUGUCAAGUCGAUUGUGAAAUCUCCCGGCUCAACUGGGAGGGUGCGGUCGAAACUGGCAGGCUAGAGUUCGGGAGAGGAGAGUGGAAUUCCUGGUGUAGCGGUGAAAUGCGUAGAUAUCAGGAGGAACACCGGAGGUGAAGACGGCUCUCUGGACCGAUACUGACGCUGAGACUCGAAAGCGUGGGGAGCAAACAGGAUUAGAAACCCCUGUAGUCC